rnacentral:misc_RNA from 1 species
GAGCAAGGAGAGGCUAACUUAGCCACACAAUGGUAUCUUAAAGCUUAACCACUAGAAUCUGGCAAACUAGGAACUCAUUUAAGCUUUGGAUAACCAAAGGAUAUGGGAGCUGAGAAGAGAUCCAAAGGCAAAGAAGCAACAAAUUAGCAUUAGUCGGUUAUAAAGGUGACGAUGACUUAGCACGUCGGCAUCUCACUCGCGCCUUAUCUUUGCACCCAACCAAAAGGAGGAAACUCAGUUCCCUCACUGUAAUUUCUUGCCUUUGGACAAACGACCUAAACACAAGUAGUAGUAGUUUCCCACCUUCUAACAAACCAGACACAACUAGAGAAAACCUAAAAGCUCUCUUCUUGAUGAAGCCUGAAGCCAUGUAGAUCUAAAGUACCCUCACCCAUAAUCACUGUAUCUACUGCAAAAGCCAUAAAAUUAUUUAUCUACAAUCCCAUCCAGAUGGUGGGGAUCGUUGAGACAAGGGAAAAAGAGAUCCCCUGUCCAGAUGGGGCAGAAGAGAUUGAGCUAUUGGCAGAUUUAAAGGCCUAGCCUCAUAAAAUAGAAGAAGAGACUUUAGAUAAAACUUUUCUCUCUAAAAACAUAGAGAGAAAGAAGAGUCUCUUCUAUGAGAAAGUUGCAGAAGCUGUUACGUCAUUCUCAACUAAGAUUGGUUUCUUAUUUCAAACUAGUUCGCGUUGUCAGUUCCCUAACUGAUUUACUGGUUCAAUUUUAACUCUGUAAUUUUCAAGGGCUUGAAGUAUAAAUUGAA